rnacentral:rRNA from 1 species
AUUGAACGCUGGCGGCAUGCUUUACACAUGCAAGUCGAACGGUAACAGGCCUUCGGGUGCUGACGAGUGGCGAACGGGUGAGUAAUGCAUCGGAACGUACCCAGAGGUGGGGGAUAACGCAGCGAAAGCUGUGCUAAUACCGCAUGUGAUCUGAGGAUGAAAGCGGGGGACCGAGCAGCAAUGUUUGGCCUCGCGCCUUUGGAGCGGCCGAUGUCGGAUUAGCUAGUUGGUGGGGGAAAGGCCUACCAAGGCGACGAUCCGUAGCUGGUCUGAGAGGACGACCGGCCACACUGGGACUGAGACACGGCCCAGACUCCUACGGGAGGCAGCAGUGGGGAAUUUUGGACAAUGGGCGCAAGCCUGAUCCAGCAAUGCCGCGUGCGGGAAGAAGGCCUUCGGGUUGUAAACCGCUUUUGGCAGGAACGAAACGGUGUCCGCUAAUACCGGGCGCUAAUGACGGUACCUGCAGAAUAAGCACCGGCUAACUACGUG